rnacentral:pre_miRNA from 1 species
CCCACCCUGUCUCAUGGGUAGUUUAGCUCAACUAGUACAUGUAAUUAGUAAUCCCUCCGUAUAAUUAGUAUUUUUGUUGUUAUGAGAUGAUAAAAUAUGAAUAGUACUUUACUUAUGACUUAUGUUUUUAAUUUUUUAAAAAAAAUUUCAAAUAAGAUGGACGGUUAAAGUUGGACGUGAAAAAUCAUAGCUGCAUUUAAA